GCAGUCGAGCGAAUGGAUUGAGAGCUUGCUCUCAAGAAGUUAGCGGCGGACGGGUGAGUAACACGUGGGUAACCUGCCCAUAAGACUGGGAUAACUCCGGGAAACCGGGGCUAAUACCGGAUAACAUUUUGAACUGCAUGGUUCGAAAUUGAAAGGCGGCUUCGGCUGUCACUUAUGGAUGGACCCGCGUCGCAUUAGCUAGUUGGUGAGGUAACGGCUCACCAAGGCAACGAUGCGUAGCCGACCUGAGAGGGUGAUCGGCCACACUGGGACUGAGACACGGCCCAGACUCCUACGGGAGGCAGCAGUAGGGAAUCUUCCGCAAUGGACGAAAGUCUGACGGAGCAACGCCGCGUGAGUGAUGAAGGCUUUCGGGUCGUAAAACUCUGUUGUUAGGGAAGAACAAGUGCUAGUUGAAUAAGCUGGCACCUUGACGGUACCUAACCAGAAAGCCACGGCUAACUACGUGCCAGCAGCCGCGGUAAUACGUAGGUGGCAAGCGUUAUCCGGAAUUAUUGGGCGUAAAGCGCGCGCAGGUGGUUUCUUAAGUCUGAUGUGAAAGCCCACGGCUCAACCGUGGAGGGUCAUUGGAAA
rnacentral:rRNA from 1 species